GGAAGAAUGGCUGAGUGGUCGAAGGCACUGGUUUGCUAAAUCAGCGUAUACAUAAGUAUACCAUGGGUUCAAAUCCCAUUUCUUCCG
rnacentral:tRNA from 1 species